CCCCUCGCCGUGCGCCAUGACUGUGGAACGUGGUGCCGGGGAGGAGGGCCCGCCGCCGGGGGGCCGCCCGGGGCUGCUCCGCAUUGGUUGCAGAAACCCGAGCCCUGGAGUCGCUCCCCCUCCUUGGGCUUGUCUCCUCCUCCUGCUCUGCGGGGGAAAACCGCUGCACCCAAACUGAGAGCAGCUGCGAGCAAGGGGGCAGGGCCCCGGCUGGCAGGCUAGCCAAGGGUUCGAACCUCCCUCGGGGGUCGCUGGUCUCGGAGAGGGGCAUGGACCCGAACAAGACCUGGUCCCGGGGCGGCAGAUCAGGCCAGUGUGGACCGUUGUGCCGCCCCCUUUCUCCCCAAAUCUGGCGCGAGAUAAGCCACUGUCCCCAUCCACUCCACCCCGGGCUCCGGGUGUGGACGGCGGGAGAAAGACUAUAUGGGAGCUUAAAGCAUGAGGUCAUGGGUUGAAGAGGCUGCUGCCAAAAGCUGCGGAGAACAUGGAGGUCAAAGGACAACUCGUCAGCAAUUGGUUCUCAUCUUCCACCAAGUGGGGUCCAGGGAUGGAACUCAGGUCAUCAGGCUUGGCCCAAUUCAUUGACAUGGUACCAGAUUUAAAUCAACAGCAAGAAGCCUCCUCUCCAAGCUCUACCCCGUCCACUCCAUUUUCCUGAAGCAGAAGCAAGCAGAUUCACAGGGGGAAGAUAUGGCCAACUGCUUUCCAGUGGAGGCCAUGAGAGACUCUUGAGACAUCCAUUUAAAUCUUUAUGUACAGAUCUCUUUUGCCUGCCCUGGCGGGGCCACCUUCUUACUCCCUCCCACCAUUACCCUUUUCACUCCCUUAACCUCAAACAGACUCUGUUGACAACGGUUACCUGAGAUACUGACAAAUGAAAAUGAC
rnacentral:lncRNA from 1 species